GUUAUCCGUAUCCGAUGAGAUGAAGUCAAGUUUCGCGCCGGAAGAUAACGGCUGGGAGUAAAAAUUGCGAUUUCAGCAUUGGAGAUCCUCUAAGUCCUACUUAUCACCAAUCAAUUACCUCAAAUGAAAAGUUACCUCGCCAUUAUUGCUCAAAAAGACUGGAAGGAGUCCUGUUGAGGAUUUAGAUUCCUCCUCUUUUGAAAAGUGCAACCGAUUGAAGUUAUAAAGGGCUCUGGGGUGUUUUGCCAGGCAGAAGUCUGGAAAGCAGCCCUCCUUGCCACCUCUGCUACUGCCAUGGUGUGGAAUCUGCUGCUGGGCACAUUUGAUCUGGAGACUUUGCUGAAAAACAACCUGAAUGGUGGGAAGCCAACCAGAGGGGAUGGGGAGCAGCUGGUCGCCCUUGACCAAAUUAAAAAGGCAUCAUUAUUGAUGCUACAUUGAAGAAGUGGCCGUCAGCCAGCCGAGGGGAGAUGGGCACGUCUAUCAAUUCAAAGCUCAUGGAGC